rnacentral:tRNA from 1 species
GCUAGUGGUGAAAUUGGUAAACACAGUCUCUUGCCAAGGGACCGUUCUUCGGAACAUACGGGUUCGAGUCCCGUCUAGCA